AUCGAUUGCAGGAUUGAAUCGGUGGGUUUGACGAGGGUGCGCAAACGUACUCGCAUGGUAUAAGUUGCGCACGUGAUCCUUGACAUAACCUUGACUAUGUACACAAUCGUGCAUAAGAUGGUGUGAACUGUGAUGAACGGUUCCUCCACGUCACGUGUUGUUGUUCUUGUCCGUCGCUAAUUCAUAUGAAAUAUAUGAUGACUUCGGAAAUUGGUUUGUUCGCUCUACUUCCAGUAAAAAAAAUGUAAGGGCAAUCCUCGUCGAACCCUUUACUUUUU
rnacentral:telomerase_RNA from 1 species